rnacentral:rRNA from 1 species
GACGAACGCUGGCGGCGUGCCUAAUACAUGCAAGUAGAACGCUGAAGAGAGGAGCUUGCUCUUCUUGGAUGAGUUGCGAACGGGUGAGUAACGCGUAGGUAACCUGCCUUGUAGCGGGGGAUAACUAUUGGAAACGAUAGCUAAUACCGCAUAACAAUGGAUGACACAUGUCAUUUAUUUGAAAGGGGCAAUUGCUCCACUACAAGAUGGACCUGCGUUGUAUUAGCUAGUAGGUGAGGUAAUGGCUCACCUAGGCGACGAUACAUAGCCGACCUGAGAGGGUGAUCGGACACACUGGGACUGAGACACGGCCCAGACUCCUACGGGAGGCAGCAGUAGGGAAUCUUCGGCAAUGGGGGCAACACUGACCGAGCAACGCCGCGUGAGUGAAGAAGGGUUUCGGAUCGUAAAGCUCUGUCGUAAGUCAAGAACGGGUGUGAGAGUGGAAAGUUCACACUGUGACGGUAGCUUACCAGAAAGGGACGGCUAACUACGUG